rnacentral:rRNA from 1 species
UACAGAGACUGCAAGCGUUAUUCGGAUUCACUGGGCGUAAAGGGUGCGCAGGCGGCCAAGUGUGUUAGGCGUGAAAGCCUGAGGCUUAACCUCAGAAUUGCACCUAAAACUACAUGGCUAGAGCAUUGGAGAGGGUAGCGGAAUUCACGGUGUAGCAGUGAAAUGCGUAGAUAUCUGGAGGAACACCGGUGGCGAAGGCGACAUCCUGGACCGGAAUUGACGCUGAGGCGCGAAAGCCAGGGGAGCAAACGGG